UCUCCGUUGGUGAACCAGCGGAGGGAUCAUUAUCGAGUUUAUAACUCCCAAACCCUAUGUGAACUUACCACUUGUUGCUUCGGCGCGCGCUCCGGUGCCGCCGAGGACACUUAAACUCUUUGUUUUUAUAAGCAUUUCUGAGUGGCCGAAAGGCAAAAUACAAAUGAAUCAAAACUUUCAACAACGGAUCUCUUGGUUCUG
rnacentral:misc_RNA from 1 species